rnacentral:lncRNA from 1 species
GCGACCGUGGCUCAUGUGGGAGUGGGUCGUCUUCUGAUCGAGAGGUUUGGGGUUCGAUCCCAGUACCUGACUAUGUGUCGAAGUGUUCUUGGGCAAGACACUGAACCCUAAGUUGCUCCCAGUGGUCGACUAGCGCCUUGCAUGGCAGUCCUGUCCCUCUGGUGUGUGAAUGUGAGAGUGAUUGGGUGAAUGAGCUGAUAUGUAAAGCGCUUUGAGACUGCUUCAGUGUGGUGAUAAAGCUCUAUAUAAAAUCAAGUCCAUUUACCAUUUCUGUAUAAAUGUAUGGUUUCGAGAGACAAGGCGUCAUAAUGAUGGAUUCAUUCAGUGUAGGACAUCACUGAAGGCCUAGGUGUGAAAUGCAUGGCACACCACUGGUAAGGAGUUUGAUUUUUUUUUCCCAUAGACAGCUCUCUGGUCUUCUUGUUUACUGAAAAGCAAAUGCAAUUUUCACAGGUGAAAUGUCACACUACAAGCCAGCCAUCAAUACUGGGCUUUGUAACAAAGAAAAGAGUCACAGGCGUUCCAACAGACAUGUGAUCAGAGUCUGCAGUUGCUGCCGCAUCGUUCAGGCAGUAAUCGUGGCGUCCAACUCGCAACUCAUUGGUGAGUGUCCAAC